rnacentral:lncRNA from 1 species
GGAAGAAAGAAGGAUGUGGAGAAAAUCACUCAAAAUUGCAGAUUCAAGAGUGGACUUGAAGUAUCACUUUCAAAGUCAUUAGUCAAGAGAAAAGCAUGUCAUGACUGUGGUUAACAUGGCCACAAGAGCAGAACUUGCAAGAAAAGAAAUCAGAAUGAUUAAUACAUGUGUAGGUAAGUGUUCUUACAUUUGUACAUGUUGUC